UAUAUCAGGAAAGUGGAUAAUAAAUAGAAGGUUGCCGCUGUGAAGCGGUGAAUUUAGCUGCAUCGGUCUGCGCUGCGGGUUUCCCCCUGAGAUAAACAACUUCGCAUUCUCUUAAACUGAAAUCGUUGCUCUAGGCUCGGCUCUAGGCUACAGGAAACGGAAGAUCUUUCCAGUCAAUGACGAGAUGUCCCAUUGGAAUCACCCAUACAAUGUUAGAGCGAUGGAAAUGGAUUUUUCAAAUGGACCCAGAGUGUGUCGCGGGGGAACAUCGCUGGCCAAAUUUCGGAUCUAUAAAAUACCAUCGAUACGGAAUCGAUGGCAGUAUUGUUGCUGACAAAUAAUCAUGGUUCGAGAGUCGUCAGUGUUGGAUCGGAAGAUCACAGUUAUAGGGCUGUCGAGGGCAAAAGCACCUGUAAAAUCAACGUGUACCUAGUCAAAUAAUAUCCAUUAUUGUAUAAUAAAAUAUGUCUAUAAAA